rnacentral:rRNA from 1 species
CAGCACCUCAAGUGGUCAGGAUGAUUAUUGGGCCUAAAGCAUCCGUAGCCGGCUCUGUAAGUUUUCGGUUAAAUCUGUACGCUCAACGUAUGGGCUGCCGGGAAUACUGCAAAGCUAGGGAGUGGGAGAGGUAGACGGUACUCGGUAGGAAGGGGUAAAAUCCUUUGAUCUAUUGAUGACCACCUGUGGCGAAGGCGGUCUACCAGAACACGUCCGACGGUGAGGGAUGAAAGCUGGGGGAGCAAACCGGAUUAGAUACCCGAGUAGUCC